rnacentral:rRNA from 1 species
UGCGUAGGUGGUUACGUAAGCCCAUGGUGAAAGGCUACAGCUCAACUGUAGUAAGCCGUGGGAACUGUGUAACUUGAGUGCAGGAGAGGAAAGUGGAAUUCCUAGUGUAGCGGUGAAAUGCGUAGAUAUUAGGAGGAACACCAGUGGCGAAGGCGACUUUCUGGACUGUAACUGACACUGAGGCACGAAAGCGUGGGGAGCAAACAGGAUUAGAUACCCUGGUAGUCC